GAGAUCAGUACGAUGGCCUAGACUCCAUCAGGAUCCCCAGUGACCUCGUGUGGAGGCCAGACAUCGUCUUAUAUAACAAGGACACAAUUCAACUCUUAACAGUGACACUCACCAUCCAAGAUCAUGUAUCAAUAAUUAAUUAAACCGGAAUGGGCCAUCUAGAAACUGACCUGUGGAUUUGGGGCUUUGUGUGGAGUGGAGGAUGAACCAGUUUACGGGAUACAAAGUGACGUUUUCCCGGUCUCAGAGCAAGGGGCAUUGUAUAACGGGAUCCAAUCCAGAAUACCACAUUAUAUUUAGCCAAAAUAUACUUUUCGGGGAAAAACUUGUAAGGAAGACUUCAAAAAUAUGCAUCCAAAUGUUAACAGAAAUGUACCAAUUAAGGCUCUUUGGUUGUAAGCAUCAGAAACUGACUUUGGCAACCUUGUGAAAUAGGAAUUUGUUAGAAGGAUGUGGCACAUCUCAUUGAAUUAAAGGAAAAAGUAAACAACCAGCUCUUGGAAAGGACAGAACCAAGGCUGCUCUAGUGUUCAAGGCAGGAGGGACUGUCUGUUUUUUUUCAGCCAUCACUAGGGUGAUGCUUUUGGUCUCUGGAUCACUCUGCUUAAGAUCUAAACUCUGG
rnacentral:lncRNA from 10 species